rnacentral:rRNA from 1 species
CAGCCGCCACGGUAAUACGGAGGAUCCAAGCGUUAUCCGGAAUCAUUGGGUUUAAAGGGUCCGUAGGCGGUCUUGUAAGUCAGUGGUGAAAGCCCAUCGCUCAACGGUGGAACGGCCAUUGAUACUGCAGGACUUGAAUUAUUGGGAAGUAACUAGAAUAUGUAGUGUAGCGGUGAAAUGCUUAGAGAUUACAUGGAAUACCAAUUGCGAAGGCAGGUUACUACCAAUUGAUUGACGCUGAUGGACGAAAGCGUGGGUAGCGAACAGGAUUAGAUACCCCAGUAGUCCCUGUCUCUUAUAC